GCAAGUCGUGCGCGCCCUUCGGGGUGAGCGGCGGACGGGUGAGUAACGCGUGGGAACGUGCCCUUCAGUUGAGGAUAGCCCCGGGAAACUGGGAGUAAUACUCGAUACGCUCUACGGAGGAAUGAAGGAUCGGCCCGCGUUAGAUUAGGUAGUUGGUGCGGUAAUGGCGCACCAAGCCUACGAUCUAUAGCUGGUUUUAGAGGAUGAUC
rnacentral:rRNA from 1 species